rnacentral:rRNA from 1 species
UCUUAAAAGUUCGGGGCUNAACCCCGUGAUGGGAUGGAAACUGCUGAUCUAGAGUAUCGGAGAGGAAAGUGGAAUUCCUAGUGUAGCGGUGAAAUGCGUAGAUAUUAGGAAGAACACCAGUGGCGAAGGCGACUUUCUGGACGAAAACUGACGCUGAGGCGCGAAAGCCAGGGGAGCGAACGGGAUUAGAUACCCCGGUAAUCCUGGCCGUAAACGAUGGGUACUAGGUGUAGGAGGUAUCGACCCCUUCUGUGCCGGAGUUAACGCAAUAGGUACCCCGCCUGGGGAGUACGACCGCAAGGUUGAAAUUCAAAGGAAUUGACGGGGGCCCGCACAAGCGGUGGAGUAUGUGGUUUAAUUCGACGCAACGCGAAGAACCUUACCAGGUCUUGACAUUGAUGGACAGAACCAGAGAUGGUUCCUCUUCUUCGGAAGCCAGAAAACAGGUGGUGCACGGUUGUCGUCAGCUCGUGUCGUGAGAUGUUGGGUUAAGUCCCGCAACGAGCGCAACCCCUAUCUUAUGUUGCCAGCACUUCGGGUGGGAACUCAUGAGAGACUGCCGCAGACAAUGCGGAGGAAGGCGGGGAUGACGUCAAAUCAUCAUGCCCCUUAUGACCUGGGCUACACACGUACUACAAUGGGAGUUAAUAGACGGAAGCGAGAUCGCGAGAUGGAGCAAACCCGAGAAACACUCUCUCAGUUCGGAUCGUAGGCUGCAACUCGCCUACGUGGAGUCGGAAUCGCUAGUAAUCGCAGGUCAGCAUACUGCGGUGAAUACGUUCCCGGGCCUUGUACACACCGCCCGUCACACCACGAAAGUCGGAAGUGCCCAAAGCCGGUGGGGUAACCUUCGGGAGCCAGCCNU